rnacentral:rRNA from 1 species
GACGAACGCUGGCGGCGUGCUUAACACAUGCAAGUCGAACGGAAAGGCCCUGCUUUUGUGGGGUGCUCGAGUGGCGAACGGGUGAGUAACACGUGAGUAACCUGCCCUUGACUUUGGGAUAACUUCAGGAAACUGGGGCUAAUACCGGAUAGGAGCUCCUGCUGCAUGGUGGGGGUUGGAAAGUUUCGGCGGUUGGGGAUGGACGCGCGGCUUAUCAGCUUGUUGGUGGGGGAGUGGCUUACCAAGGCUUUGACGGGUAGCCGGCCUGAGAGGGUGACCGGCCACAUUGGGCCUGAGAUACGGCCCAGUCUCCUACGGGAGGCAGCAGUGGGGAAUAUUGCACAAUGGGCGGAAGCCUGAUGCAGCAACGCCGCGUGCGGGAUGACGGCCUUCGGGUUGUAAACCGCUUUCGCCUGUGACGAAGCGUGAGUGACGGUAAUGGGUAAAGAAGCACCGGCUAACUACGUG